GCCUCAGGGUUCCUGUGCUGUGCAUGAGCAAGUCAAGGUAUGAAGAUGGGAUUUACACUGACUCGUCUCCAGCCCAGUCUGGUGCUCUAUCAUCAUCCUCUGCCGUUCUCACACUGAAUCCCCUCUUACUGAGAGCUUUGACAUGCAGAAUCCUGGUUUUCAGGAAUGUUCUUCCAGUGACUCAUCUAAAGUGCUGGGGAGAGCCUGAAUCUCCAGCGUGAUUACCUCGAAGGAAAAUGAGACUCCCACGUUUGUGUCUCUAUUGCUGGCAUCUGCCAACACCUCUCACCACAUCCCAACCACAGGCCUGCUCCAACUCAGGUCCAACUCAAGUCCCACCUUGUCUCAUGCUGCAUGACUGCAAACCACCAAGGACAAAGCCUUGCCUGGACCCAUCGGGGCUCAGAGAUGCAGCACUGUCUGUUGGACCUGGUCCAGGAGGCAACUUCAGGCUCACCUGUGAAAUACGGACCUGGACAGAACCCUGUGGGCUCUGCAGCCCUUUUAUCCAAUGGCUCCAGGAUUAAACAACCGCAUUCCAAAACUGGUAAACAGUUGCAGAUGUUUUAAUUUACAAAAGGUCAUUAUUUUCAGCUACUGAUGAGUUAUCACCUUCUGAACUCUCAUUUCACACUGUCUCAGACUGGGCAUCCAGAAGCCAAGGAAUCACGUACUUCCAAUGAAUUCCCACUAAAAUAAGAGGCAUAUUUCCCAUCUCUUUCUUUAGACUACUUUCAGAAUAGUUCUGAGUAUCUCCACAAUGUCUGAGAUGA